UGUGGGAAAGCAGCUACACACUUUGGGCACAGGCUCUACCCCAUUGGGGAAGGUGCUCAUGACUGUAAGGAGGAACUAAAGAAUGCAUUGGUGCCAUUGAAAGAGAAGUUACCCUAUACAAGAAGGCAAAAACGGUCUGUGAGGAAAUGGCAGAACAUGUCAAGAACCAAGUUGAACAUACUGAAACACAGAUCAAAGAGGACUUUAAAUCCCUGCACUGUUUCCUGAAAGAGCAGGAGGCUGCCAGACUU